rnacentral:rRNA from 1 species
ACACGUAGGGGGCGAGCGUUGUUCGGAAUCAUUGGGCGUAAAGGGCGUGCAGGCGGUCCUGCAAGUCCGGCGUGAAAGACCCCGGCCCAACCGGGGGGACGCGCUGGAAACUGCGGGGCUUGAGUACAGGAGGGGAUGCCGGAAUUCCAGGUGUAGGGGUGAAAUCUGUAGAUAUCUGGAAGAACACCAAUGGCGAAGGCAGGCAUCUGGCCAUGUACUGACGCUGAGACGCGAAGGUGCGGGGAGCAAACAGGUUUAGAUACCCUGGUAGUCCGCACAGUAAACGAUGUGCACCAGGUGGCGGGGGGUCGACCCUCGGUACCGUAGCUAACGCAUUAAGUGCACCGCCUGGGGAGUAUGCUCGCAAGGGUGAAACUCAAAUGAAUUG